rnacentral:rRNA from 1 species
UACGUAGGGUGCAAGCGUUGUCCGGAAUUAUUGGGCGUAAAGAGCUCGUAGGCGGUCUGUCGCGUCUGCUGUGAAAACUCAGGGCUUAACCCUGAGCUUGCAGUGGGUACGGGCAGACUAGAGUGCGGUAGGGGAGACUGGAAUUCCUGGUGCAGCGGUGAAAUGCGCAGAUAUCAGGAGGAACACCGGUGGCGAAGGCGGGUCUCUGGGCAGUAACUGACGCUGAGGAGCGAAAGCGUGGGGAGCGAACAGG